rnacentral:lncRNA from 1 species
GACUUUAGUCUAGCUAUAGGUCUAGAAGAAAACAGGGGUGUUGGGGGUGGCUCCUGAAAAGAAUCAACAAUAUUUUGCAUGGCAACUAUGUGUCAGGGGAGGCCAUCAAUGUUGCCUCAGGCAGCACAGGGUUUAUCUCCUCAGGCAAAGGUAGAAAGACUGAUGGCAGCAUGGGUUGGGGAGGACACAUAUAUAUGGAAAUUUAUUAAGUAUUAAGUUGCAGGAUC